rnacentral:rRNA from 1 species
AGUGAACGCUGGCGGUAGGCCUAACACAUGCAAGUCGAACGGCAGCACACUGAGAGCUUCCUCUUACGGGUGACGAGUGGCGGACGGGGGGGGAAUACAUUGGAAUUUACUUUUUCGUGCUUGAUCUCGUAGGGAAACUUCCGCUAAUACCGCAUACGACCUACGGGUGAAAGCACGGGCUCUUCAGGCCUUGCGCGAUUGAAUGAGCCGGUGUCGGAUUAGCUAGUUGGCGAGGUACAGGCUCACCAAGGCGACGAUCCGUAGCUGGUCUGAGAGGAUGAUCAGCCACACUGGGACUGAGACACGGCCCAGACUCCUACGGGAGGCAGCAGUGGGGAAUAUUGGACAAUGGGCGCAAGCAUGAUCCAGCCAUGCCGCGUGAGUGAUGAAGGCCUUAGGGUUGUAAAGCUCUUUUAUCCGGGACGAUAAUGACGGUACCGGAGGAAUAAGCCCCGGCUAACUUCGUG